rnacentral:rRNA from 1 species
UACGUAGGGACCGAGCGUUGUCCGGAUUCAUUGGGCGUAAAGAGCUCGUAGGCGGCCACUCAAGUCGAAUGUGAAACCUCGAGGCUUAACCUCGAGCCUGCAUUCGAUACUGGGCGGCUAGAGUCUGGUAGGGGGAUCUGGAAUUCCUGGUGUAGCGGUGAAAUGCGCAGAUAUCAGGAAGAACACCCGUGGCGAAAGCGGCUCUCUGGAACGGUACUGACGCUGAGACGCGAAAGCGUGGGGAGCGAACAGG